AGCUCCAAUAGCGUAUAUUAAAGUUGUUGCGGUUAAAAAGCUCGUAGUUGGAUUUUGGGUUCACUUCCGGCGGGCCGGUGCAAGCCGCGAACUGCUAGAAUGGACCUUCUGUCUGGAAGGUGGUCGCUUCCUAUUCGCUUAGUGGCGGCCGCCGUCUAGGACUUUUACUUUGAACAAAUUGGAGUGUUUAAAGCAGGCAAACGUCUUGAACACAUUAGCAUGGAAUAACCGAAUAGGGCUUUGGCUCUAUUUUGUUGGUUUUAAGGGCCGAAGUAAUGAUUAAUAGGGACAGUUGGGGGCAUUCGUAUUUAAUUGUCAGAGGUGAAAUUCUUAGAUUUAUGAAAGACGAACUUCUGCGAAAGCAUUUGCCAAGGAUGUUUUCAUUAAUCAAGAACGAAAG
rnacentral:rRNA from 1 species